rnacentral:lncRNA from 1 species
GGGAAAUCUUGAUUAAGCAAUUUUACAGGGGAGAGGAUGAUUUGUCAGGAAGGCUCUUCAUGCAUUUUCAAGAGAAAGAUGGACUCAACUGGGAGAAAUAAGACCAGCUCCUCCAUUAGAGGUGGGGAGAUGUUGGCAGUGAGCGUCCCUACCCCUGGUGCAGCAGAACACUGAUUUUCCUGGAAAGAAGAUUCCCAGCACAUAAGAGGGUUUACAGAGCACGCUCUGAUGCUUCUUCCAAAAAAUUCCAUGCAGGCUGGGUGAGAUAUUUUGGACAGAGAAUGAUGCUGAGAAGACGCACCAUUGGCACCUUGGACCUGGGCAUCCCGGAGGCUCCAGAGCAGAGAGAUCUGUGCCAGCUCUGCAGGAACCUGGCUCAUACUUAAAAGUAGGAGCAGCCAUUCCCAUUGCUCUGGGUAACACGUGGUUUCCUCUCACGCUGCUGGUGGCACUCAGGUUGCCUGGAACUGGGGAAGAAUUAACAAAACACAGAAAUUGGAUGUUUAGCUUACUGACAAGGGCAAGUUGUGAUAUACUGCACUUUUCAAGUGUUUAUUCCCCUGGUCUCGUCUGCAAGCCAUGAAGGCAGGAAUCAUGCCAGUGCUCACCAAACAACAUCUGAAUUCUCCAUACAACUCUGCUUUGCUGUGGUGUUUAAUUACCCUCAGAAGUUGUUCCUGGGCGUGCAUGUGUGACUAAAACAGCUACCAUUAAAGACAAGUUCUGCAUUGCAUUACUGGACUAAUAUUGCUGAGAAUAAUGUGACCAGAAUAGCUACUCGUGCCUCAAGGCCAGAAAUGAUCCAUGCCAAGCCCACCUCCAUCCCUCCCC